ensembl:snRNA U6 U6 spliceosomal RNA
GUGCUCACUUCGGCAGCACAUAUACUAAAAUUGGAACGAUACAGAGAUUAGCAUGGCCCCUGCACAAGGAUGAUAUGCAAAUUCGUGAAGCGUUCCAUAUAUUU